GCAGGGAUGAGAUAAUUGAUUUAUUACUUAUUAAAUCGCUACUGUGGAAGCAUGUUACUGUGCUUCGGCGUGCUUGGCCAAUUUGCUCAGAAACGGUGGCUCUGUAAGCUAAUUGUUGGUUUGCCUAGACCGUGUUGUAUAUCUGCAAAUUUUUUGGUUAUUAAAAGGAAAAAUAUAUUUUCUUUUGAUGUGUGUUCCCUGCUUGCAGUUGUAUCACGCAAUCUUUGAUUUGCUACUUUUACCAUUGCCCUUAUUUCUUCAUUUUGGUUGACGGUCCCUAAUCUCCUGCAAAAUGAAGAAAAAAUGUGACCGUGGUCACUCACCAGUCAGACACUUUUGCUGGUGGAUACAUCGCGAGACUGCUACUACAGGGUCAGCGAGUUUUGAGGGCCACAGGGCCAUGACUCUUCUCAAGGAAAAAGUAUUGAAGGGCAUAGUGCUAAGGCGGACGGAAAUAUGCUGAGAUGUAGAUCUUGCUCUUCCACCAAAGAAGAAGCCAGCCAUUUCAUCGAAGAGUGAAAUUUUGGGAAAGAAUAUCACGUAAAUGCAUGAAUGAUGUUGGGGUACUGACAUUUCAUGCAACACAUGUACAUGGAACAAUGUAUUAGGUAAACGCUGUAUGGAUGCAUUUCCCAUAGCUUUGAGAAGGCAAAGAUCCUCUCCUUGCUUGAAAAUUACUGGUAUGUUAGUUAUAUCUCAGUAUUAUCCACUGACGAAGUUAUGUUGUUGAUUUUCAGAUGGUAUUCGAGCCGUACUUUCUUUGGGUUAUAGAGCCAUUGCCAUCACACGGGUCCUCGAUGCCACUGAUUGGGCGAGAACCGAGAAGCUUACCGCGGCGAAGAGUGCUGGCUUCGCCGACGGUGAAAAUGUUGACCACCUUACAAAGGAAACAAUAGUCCUCCCAGUCAGUCACCCUUGGUCAAGGGAAAGGAGAUCAUUGUUCUUUCUUCUGACGAUGAAGACUACUACUGGGAAAGCUGGGUCUAACGACUAGAAGGGCACAAGGAAAAUGAUUAUAUGUAUAUAUCAUGUAGUCCAGUAUCGUUCCUUACAACUGCGCUUUCGGGAUCUAUUUCGUGCAGGCAAAAUCGGACAACUUGGUCGUAUAACAAUGACUUACACUUAAGUUAUUGCGAUGGCAGUCAGACCGGCCACAUUUGAUAGUUGGCUCCAAAGCAUACAUAUAAUGGAUUGCCUCUACUUAGGCGUUUCCUAAAAUACAUUUUGUCUGUAAAUAAUGUGUUCUCUAAUCAGUCUGUACUGUUUGACCGCCAUUGUUCGGGGAUAAUGAUGGAACACAUUGGUGAUUGCA